rnacentral:rRNA from 1 species
CCUACGGGAGGCAGCAGUGGGGAAUAUUGCGCAAUGCGCGUAAGCGUGACGCAGCGACGCCGCGUGAAUGACGAAGGCCUUCGGGUCGUAAAGUUCUUUCGACAGGGAAGAAAAUGCAUAUAAGUAACUGUGUAUGUAUUGACGGUACCUGCAUAAGCAGCACCGGCUAACUCCGUGCCAGCAGCCGCGGUAAUACGGAGGGGGCGGGCGUUGUUCGGAGUGACUGGGCGUAAAGAGCACGUAGGCGGUGUUGUAAGUCAUUAGUCAAAGACUAGAGCUCAACUUUAGUAAGGCUAGUGAUACUAUAAUACUAGAGUAUCAGAGAGGAUUGCAGAAUUCCUGGUGUAGGAGUGAAAUGCGUAGAUAUCAGGAGGAAUACCGUUAGCGAAGGCGACAAUCUGGCUGGAAACUGACGCUGAGGUGCGAAAGCGUGGGUAGCAAACAGGAUUAGAUACCCUAGUAGUC